rnacentral:rRNA from 1 species
UGGGGAAUAUUGGACAAUGGGCGCAAGCCUGAUCCAGCCAUGCCGCGUGCAGGAUGACGGUCCUAUGGAUUGUAAACUGCUUUUUGUACAGGAAGAAACAGUUCUACGUGUAGAACCUUGACGGUACUGUAAGAAUAAGGAUCGGCUAACUCCGUGCCAGCAGCCGCGGUAAUACGGAGGAUCCAAGCGUUAUCCGGAAUCAUUGGGUUUAAAGGGUCCGUAGGCGGUUAGAUAAGUCAGUGGUGAAAGCCCAUCGCUCAACGGUGGAACGGCCAUUGAUACUGUCUGACUUGAAUUAUUAGGAAGUAACUAGAAUAUGUAGUGUAGCGGUGAAAUGCUUAGAGAUUACAUGGAAUACCAAUUGCGAAGGCAGGUUACUACUAACGGAUUGACGCUGAUGGACGAAAGCGUGGGUAGCGAACAGGAUUAGAUACCCUUGUAGUCCCUGAGCGGGCUGGCAAGGCGCAU